rnacentral:tRNA from 1 species
GCCUUCGUGGAGUAGUGGUCAGCACGCUUGGCUUGUAUUCAAGAGGUCCGUGGUUCAAGUCCCGGUGAGGGCA